CCUACGGGUGGCAGCAGUGAGGAAUAUUGGUCAAUGGACGCAAGUCUGAACCAGCCAUGCCGCGUGCAGGCAGACGGCUCUAUGAGUUGUAAACUGCUUUUGUACGAGGAUAAACGCAGAUACGCGUAUCUGUCUGAAAGUAUCGUACGAAUAAGGAACGGCCAACUACGCGCCAGCAGCCGCGGUAAUACGGAGGAUUCAAGCGUUAGCAGGAUUUAUUGGGUAUAAAGGGUGCGUAGGCGGUCGGAUAAGUUAGAGUUGAAAUCCCGAGGCUCAACUUCGGAAGUGCCUCUGAUACUGUUCGGCUAGAGAGUGGUUGCGGUAGGCGGAAUGUAUGGUGUAGCGGUGAAAUGCUUAGAGAUCAGACAGAACACCGAUUGCGAAGGCAGCUUACCAAGCUACUUCUGACGUUGAGGCACGAAAGCGUGGGGAGCAAACAGGAUUAGAUACCCCAGUAGUC
rnacentral:rRNA from 1 species